GAUGAACGCUGGCGGCGUGCCUAAUACAUGCAAGUCGAGCGAACAGACGAGGAGCUUGCUCCUCUGACGUUAGCGGCGCACGGGUGAGUAACACGUGGAUAACCUACCUAUAAGACUGGGAUAACUUCGGGAAACCGGCGCUAAUACCGUAUAAUCUAUUGAACCGCAUGGUUCAAUAGUGAAAGACGGUUUUGCUGUAACGUAUAGAUGCAUACGAGCCGCAUUAGCUGGUUGGUAAGGUAACGGCUUAUCAAGGCAACGAUGCGUAGCCGACGUGAGAGAGGGGUAGGCCACCCUGGAACUGAGACACGGUCCAGACGCCUACGGGAGGCAGCAGUAGGGAACCUGCCGCAAUGGGCGAAAGCUUGACGGAGCAACGCCGCGUGAGUGGUGAAGAUGUUCGGAUCGUAAAGCUCUGUUAUUAGUGAAGAACAAAUGUGGAAGUAACUAUGCACGUCUUGACGGUACCUGAUCAGAAAGCCACGGCUAACUACGUG
rnacentral:rRNA from 1 species